GAUGAACGCUAGCGGCAGGCUUAAUACAUGCAAGUCGUGGGGCAGCAUGUCCCGCAGCAAUGCGGGACGAUGGCGACCGGCAAACGGGUGCGGAACACGUACACAACCUUCCUUUAAGUGGGGAAUAGCCCAGGGAAACUUGGAUUAAUACCCCGUAAUAUAUAGAAGCGGCAUCGCUUUUAUAUUAUAGCAGCAAUGCGCUUGAAGAUGGGUGUGCGGCUGAUUAGGUAGUUGGCGGGGUAAUGGCCCACCAAGCCGACGAUCAGUAACUGGUGUGAGAGCACGACCAGUCACACGGGCACUGAGACACGGGCCCGACUCCUACGGGAGGCAGCAGUAAGGAAUAUCGGACAAUGGACGAAAGUCUGAACCAGCCAUGCCGCGUGGAGGAUGAAGGUCCUCUGGAUUGUAAACUUCUUUUAUCUGAGAAGAAACCCAGGAAUUCUUUCCUGGUUGACGGUACCAGAUGAAUAAGCACCGGCUAACUCCGUGCCAGCAGCCGCCGUAAGAC
rnacentral:rRNA from 1 species